GGAAGCAGCAAAGGUAAUGAUAAGCGAGUUGACAGCGAAACUUCAAAUCACAAGUGAAAAGUUAUACGAAGCAACCGAUGGGAAGGCCAGGAAAACUCUCUUAACUCAACUGAAGAUAUCAGAAAAUAUUACCCGAUUCUAUACUGGAGCCCAGUCUGGAUGAGUUUCUUCGUAUACAUCAUCACAUGGUUUACCUUCAAUGAACAAUAUAUACCAUGUAAUUACUUGUAACUAGAAGAGAA